rnacentral:rRNA from 1 species
CCUACGGGAGGCAGCAGUGGGGAAUUUUCCGCAAUGGGCGAAAGCCUGACGGAGCAAUACCGCGUGAGGGAGGAAGGCUCUUGGGUUGUAAACCUCUUUUCUCAGGGAAGAACAAAUGACGGUACCUGAGGAAUAAGCAUCGGCUAACUCCGUGCCAGCAGCCGCGGUAAUACGGAGGAUGCAAGCGUUAUCCGGAAUGAUUGGGCGUAAAGCGUCCGCAGGUGGGUGUUCAAGUCUGCUGUCAAAGGUCGGGGCUCAACUCCGUUAAGGCAGUGGAAACUGAACAGCUAGAGUGCGGUAGGGGUAGAGGGAAUUCCCAGUGUAGCGGUGAAAUGCGUAGAGAUUGGGAAGAACACCGGUGGCGAAAGCGCUCUACUGGACCGCAACUGACACUCAGGGACGAAAGCUAGGGGAGCGAAUGGGAUUAGAUACCCCAGUAGUCCUAGCCGUAAACGAUGGAUACUAGGUGUUGCUGGUAUGACCCCAGCAGUAUCGUAGCUAACGCGUUAAGUAUCCCGCCUGGGGUGUACGCGCGCGAGCGNGAACGUACAACUAGAGUAGACGGCGUGAGACGUGCCGACGGACGACGACGACGGGAGUAGG